rnacentral:tRNA from 1 species
CUUAGCUCAAUUGGCAGAGCAACUGAUUUGUAAUCAGUAGGUUGUUGGUUCGAUUCCGAUAGAC